UUGUGGUUGGGAAAAACAGGGCUGUUGUCGUUUGCAUCGAGCAGUGAUAUCACCAGCGUCACAACAGCAGAGUGGCCUUUACCAUCGUUGUCUGUCGCCUGUCAACAAACAAAUGUUAAAAUUUAUUUUUCGUAACUGUACAAUUUAAAUUUUUGUUAUUAUUUUAAACAUUUACUAGUGGAUACAAUUACUUUGUAAAGGCUAACCGUCACAAGAAAUUUAGUACCAGGCUAAAAAAAUAAAACAGUUCCUUUUGAAGAUGCAGUAGGUAUUUGUGUUUGAUGACUGUAGUUCAAAAGCAUUGGCUGUUCAUAAAGCAAAGAAUGUGGUGAUACAUGGUGGUCGUCUGGGUGGGAAAGAGUGGGGAGGGGGUGCUUUCCCCAGAAGCCGAUUAUAAUGGAAUCCUCACUUUUAGUUUCAUAGGAUUAUAAUCAGUUAAAUACGGUAUAUCUGAAACAUUGUAUUUCACAAAGGAAAAUUUGGAAUGAUAAUUUUGGAAACAAAUUUUCUUGUAAUCCAUUAAGAAAUUCAUCUGAUAAUAUUCAAAUUUUACUUCUAAGGAUAUGUACCCUAAAGAUGUCAUCUUGGGGUUUCAAACUUUUUGUACACAAAUAUCUAUAUCAUUUAAUAUUACAAACUUUGGCUCAGUUUGAGUAAAGAACAUAAUUUAAUGAGAUGCCUUGUCAUAAAUAGUGACAGACUGCUACAAAUAGUUUCUCCUGUGAAAUAAUAAUUGGUACUUAGCAUUGAAUUAUUAUUUUUUUUUCCAUUGAGAAUGACAACUGUAAUAAUGUCAAUAGACACUAUCUGUUGGUCUUGGAAAAACAAACUGUAUUAUAAUAAACGAUGGAAUACAAAACAAGAUUCUUAAUGUUAACGAGCCGGGUAGCAACUACCUGGCAACAGCAGCCACCAUUUACUCUGCACACUAGGAGUGACGCACUCCGUAGUUGAUGUUCACUGCAAUUCCACCAAACGCCUGCUGACGUGGCUUACCUUCAAGUCAAGCUGAUGACAGAAAUGUCAAUGAAAACGGGGACGUAGCCAGGGGGAAGGUCUGGUGGGACCGGACCCGUCCCUUCCAGGAUUUAAAAGAAGAUGAGAAAACACAAGCAAAGACAAUAAGAAAAUUACAUCAACUUAGCUGCAUAAGAUUACAGAGAGAUUAUUUUGGAACGAUAAUUGUAAUCCUUAGUGGGCUACAAUAAUGUAUUUUCUACCUAUUAUUAUAGCCCGAAAUGCCUAAUACACAGAAGCGGCAGGAAGUGCGUUUCCAAGUUUCAUGUAUUUAAUGAUAUCAAUAUUUUUUUUUUUUUAUGAGUUCUUUAAAGAAAUCAUUGACUUAAGAAAAAAAGGAUCAAAAACAAUUAAUCGCACACAAAAAUACAAAACGUUCAGUUUUCUUUCAAGCAAAAUUUCUAUGUGUAAAUGUUGGAGUUUAAGUGUCUACUAUUCCCUGAGAGUUUAGUGUGACAAGUGAACUGUCUUUUAAAAUUCAAUUACAAAGAAAACUUACUAAAUGUUGGAGUUUAAGUGUCUACUAUUCCCUGAGAUUUUAGUGUGACAAGUGAACUGUCUUUUAAAAUUCAAUUACAAAGAAAACUUACUAAAUGUUGGAGUUUAAGUGUCUACUAUUCCCUGAGAUUUUAGUGUGACAAGUGAACUGUCUUUUAAAAUUCAAUUACAAAGAAAACUUACUAAAUGUUGGAGUUUAAGUGUCUACUAUUCCCUGAGAUUUUAGUGUGACAAGUGAACUGUCUUUUAAAAUUCAAUUACAAAGAAAACUUACUAAA